UACGUAGGGUGCGAGCGUUAAUCGGAAUUACUGGGCGUAAAGCGUGCGCAGGCGGUUUCUUAAGUCAGAUGUGAAAGCCCCGGGCUUAACCUGGGAACUGCGUUUGAAACUGGGAGACUUGAGUGUGGCAGAGGGGGUGGAAUUCCACGUGGUAGCAGUGAAAUGCGUAGAUAUGUGGAGGAACACCGAUGGCGAAGGCAGCCCCUGGGUUAACACUGACGCUCAUGCACGAAAGCGUGGGGAGCAAACAGG
rnacentral:rRNA from 1 species